CCGGCAGCUUUUGCGCUAUCUUUGGUCGCUGAUGAAGAUGGAGACCAUGAUGGCUCAUGAAGUGAGUGUACCAGCCCGCUGAUGUGACAAACACUGACGGCUUUACAGAGGGGCUCCGUGCCUGCAAACGCUCCAGGAUCACUCUUAGUUCUUUUAUAAAAGGUGGAUACAAUGUUGGCCCCCCGGAAGUCCUCUGGUACAGACUGCUGUUUUUAAUGGGUAUAUUGCAUACCUGGGACUAGAGCUGAGCAAACUGGGCCAGAGCCUCAUUUGGUGUAGACAGGUGCAGCUCAUGAAGUCAAAGGAGUUAUGUCUGAAUAUAUAUGCUGAGGGCCUUGAUGGGCCUGACCUCUAUAUGCAAUGAACAAUUUUAUGCAUCAUAGGAGGGAUGGCUGGAUCCUUAUGGAGAGAGAGAGGCCUGUGACAAGACUAGCUCACCUCCCCAGGUGGGGAAAACAUGGAGAAGGUCAUGAGAG